rnacentral:rRNA from 1 species
AAAGACUUGACGGUACUUCACAACAACCUAGAGGAGCCUGUCUAAUAACCGAUACUCCACGAUUAACCCAACCCACCCUAGCCCAGCAGUCUAUAUACCGCCGUCGCCAGCUUACCUUGUGAAAGAAAUAAAGUAAGCAAAAUAAGCCACCCUUUAACACGACAGGUCGAGGUGUAACUAAUGAGUGGGUUAAGGAUGGGCUACAUUUUCUAAUACAGAAAAUACGAACAAACUAUGAAACUAGAAACUGAAGGCGGAUUUAGCAGUAUGUUAAGAAUAAAAUACUUAACUGAAACCAACGCAAUGAAGUGCGCACACACCGCCCGUCAUCCCUG